UGCAUUCUUCCUGUGGGGAGGACAGAAAUUGGGGCAUAUGACUUCUCUUUUUUCUUUUUUUUUUUAAAGCAAGAGUUAAACAUAUCCUCGAGGAGAAGUCAACAGUUUCUUUCACUGGCAAGUCCUCACAUCCUAAACUGUUCAUCUCCAUUUGAUUCUGGACAAUCAAUUUGAAGAGUGGGACAAAGCUGGUGACAUCAUUACUAUAAAACCAGCAGAUUUCUGGCAUGUGAUGGCCACUGGGCCUGUGACACCAUGGACAAGGUUGCCCAAAGGGCCCUGAGUGGCUGAGAUGUUCCAGCUGCUCCUGACUAGUGGAAAGGAAUUAUCCUGCAGGAUGGAGUAAGCUGCCCAAGCUGGGAAGUGCUGCUCACCAUGCUGGGAGCACAACAGGGUCAUUAGUGGACUGGAGAAACUGUGCCCUUCCCCUCCCGGCUGUGAUUUGGGCACCUCAGCCAGCCUUGUGCUGCGGAGCUCCCCUUGCUGGCUGGAUAUCACCAGGGGAUUGAUGGCAGCGUGUUGCCAUAGCCACGGCACAACCAGCAACCCACACGCACUGGAAAUGUCAGAACCACCUCUCCCUGCGCCUGGCAGGCAGCUGGGAUGCUCCUGAUCCUUGCCAACAGAUGGAGGUGUUACAGAAGA